rnacentral:rRNA from 1 species
UGCCAUCCGCCGCGGUAAUACAGAGGAUGCAAGUUUUAUUCGGAAUUAUUGGGCGUAAAGCGUCUGCAGGUUGAUAUAAAAGUCUUUUGUUAAAUAUCAGGGCUCAACCCGGAAUCUGCAAAAGAAACUAUAUAUCUUGAGUAUGGUAGAGGUAAGGGGAAUUUCCAGUGGAGCGGUGAAAUGCGUAGAUAUUGGAAAGAACACCAAUGGCGAAGGCGGCUCACUGGCUCGAUACUGACGCUGAGGUACGAAAGUGUGGGGAGCAAACAGGAUUAGAUA